GAGGGUGUAGCUCAGUGGUAGAGUGUGUGCUUAGCAUGCAUAAGACCUUGGGUUCAAGCCCCGGUACCUCCA
rnacentral:tRNA from 1 species